AUUGUACUCCCUCCGUCCGGAAAUACUUGUCGGAGGAAUGGAUGUAUCUAGAUGUAUUUUAGUUUUAGAUACAUCCAUUUUUAUGCAUUUCUCCGACAAGUAUUUCCGGAUGGAGUAGUUAGAUA
rfam:Triticum aestivum genome assembly, contig: Triticum_aestivum_CS42_TGACv1_scaffold_049842_1BS